UGAAGAGAAACCUGAAGAACCAACUGUUGAAGACAUACCUGAAAAACCAGCAGUAAUGGAGGAGGAGAAACUUUUAACAGAAGGGCUUCUGGAGAAGAAUUUGCCAAUUGUAGACUCAAAGGACAAGAUAGACGAUGCAAAUCCAUGCAAUACCACCAACAAUGAUAUUGCUAACUAUGCAUCAGUUGAGGAAAAACCUGACGAACCAGUAAUUGGAAAAACACAUGAAGAAUUAGCAAUUGAAGAUAAAUCUGAAGAAUCAGUUGUUUCGGAGAAGCUUGAAGAACUAAUGGUUGCUGAACAACCGACAGUUGAAGAGAAACCUCAAAAACCAGCAGUUGGGGAGAAACAUGAAGAACCAGCCGUUGAAGAGGAGAAACCUGAAA
rnacentral:misc_RNA from 1 species